CAGAGCUCCUCUGUAUUGUAUUGUGCAGAAGAAGGUGGAGCAGGAGCAGGAGGGGUGUGUGUUACGGGCUUGAUGUAGGGGGUGUGAUUGGUGCCAGAGUGCUCCAGAACUGCAGGGAACUCCCUCCAGAUCCCAGCUGCCCAAGCCUGGCUGCAAGCUGCAAGCAAGUGCCAGGCUUCUUUCGGCCUUCCUGGAGGAAUUCCAGCCUGCAUGGGAGGAGGAGGUCGGAAAAAUGCCAAAAAUAAUGUCUGGGCCUAUAUAAAGUUAAUCUCAUGGGUCAGACAAUGCUGAGUCAUAAAGAAAGCAAACACUCAGAAUAGCUUGGGCUGAUGCCGCUGGAAUCCCCCCGUGCCGCCUGCACUGUUGACUCCGGAUCGACCUGGGUGGUGAUCGUGGCACUUGGCAGAAUGUAUCACUUUCCCAGAGCUGCACAGAGGAUGCCUUUCCUUUGGAAACCAGGUUAAUCUAAGGUUAAUCUAAAACUUCAGACGAACAGCUUGAGCACGAUCAAGGCAGCUGAAAACCCAGAGGAUUUCAUUCACAUUAUUGGAUAAACAUUAUGCUUCCAGAGGCGAGAACCGCCUGUCUGAAGUCAUGGGGUUUAGCGGCACCAGACAUCCUCCAGUCCAGUAUGGGACCCUCAAACAGAGACCAUGCCUAAUCUGAAGCUGCCAUUCUCCCUGCGCCGCAGACUUUUACAGUAAGCU